rnacentral:rRNA from 1 species
AACCCAAAGGACUUGACGGUGUCUCAUCCAACUAGAGGAGCCUGUUCUAUAAUCGAUACCACACGAUAUACCCAACCAUUUUUUGCAAAUCAGUUUGUAUACCUCCGUCGUAAGCUUACCAUAUGAAUGAAGCAGAGUGGGCUAAGGACUUCACGCCAAACGUCAGGUCAGGUGCAGCUUAUAAAUGGAAGAAAUGGGCUACAUUCUAGAUUAGAACAAACGAAUUACUCAAUGAAACAGGUCAUGAAGGUGGAUUUAGUAGUAAGUAAGAAUAAUACACUUACUUAAUUUGGCCAUGAGACGUGUACAAACCGCCCGUCACCCUCUUCAACAA